ACCCCGUCCUCCUCUGGAGAGGCCAGCCUGCGGCCUUGCGGCUGGUUAGCAAGAGCAUUUCCCGGGGCUGGGUUCGGUGUGCUCGUUUCUGAGCGCCUCCGUCCUCACCCAGGGGCAGCGUCUGGGGAGCCCUUGCUGGCUGCUCGGGCCCCAGACUCCGAGGUUUCUGGAACAAAACUGCAUUUGGUGUCAAACCCCUUCGCCGACCCUGGAACUAAAGUUAAGUAUGAAUUUUUUUUCCUUCUCAAGUUUUCACGUAGAAGAGAUACUGGGCAAAUUAGACACAUAUUUGGGGAAAAAGUGAGCAGUAAACGCUGGUAUUUAAACCACACAAAAAUGCCCACGCCAGGCCCGACGCCCGGGCGGCCGCUAUGCGCCCGGCCGCUGCGCAGCGCCCUCUGGCGGCGGCGCGCGGGCUCGGCCGUCCCGGGGACAGAGCCGCUCCUCUGAGUCUGAGAGACACCGGGGCAACUUUGGAGGAGGGGAGUCGAAAGCGUCCGACGCCGAGGUCCCCUUUUUGGGGCUCCGUGGCUGGCACUGAGGCCAAGAGCCCAGGGAAGGGGCCCACAUAAAAGAAAAACCCUUGUUGCACUUUCGAUGACUACCUGAAAUUCUACCAGUACAGCAUCUCCAUUUUACCUGCAGGCUUUGAUUCUUUUUAAAAUUCAAGCUCCUCAGGAGGGGUGACCCUUCAAAACAAGGGCAGAUGGCAGGCUGUGUCAAAAAAUUACCAACGUCAGCACCAAAAAGAAAUGAUUGUACCAUAAUAUGUACAUUUUAGAUGGUGAGGACUUUUAAUAAGUUAUCAUUUACUCUUCCCCUCGGUAGUGUUUGUUGCCCGGCACCCGUUUGUACUCUGAACAGGGGUGUUAUUUUAGGCCGACCCUCUCCCAGUGGCCGGUCCCUCCAGAUCAGUUGGCUCCAGCUUUUCCUGUCCCUGGUACAUCCUCAACAUUUCUCCCCUCUGUCUGCUCCUCGCUGUCACGCGGCUGCUUGAGUUUAGGCUCCCACAGCUUACUGUCUGGAUCCCUGCUACUCCAGAGGGAGCGCAGGGCCCCCGGGAGAGUGGAGGGGCCUCUCUCAGGUCCUCCCUCUGCCCACAGGAAACACAGCAUCUGCGAAGAGGUAGCCGCCUCUCACGGCUCCGGGAUUGCCUUCCCAAAGGCAGCCGAGUACUCCUGCUUUCGGCUUCCUCACUGACCAUCUGUGAUUUCUUUCCAGAAAAGUACUGCCGUUCCUUCACCUGGUGGAAGCCAGAAGAGGAGAGGGCUCUGGGUCCUGAGGGACCCAGGCCACUUCUCCCCUGUCAUUUUCCUCUGCAUCUCUUUCCCCUGCCGGAAGGAUUUCUACAUAUCCAUCCUGCUUGGUGGGAAUUCCUCUAACCUCGUAUCUUCCUUCUCCUCGAGAACAGCUGCCUCAAAGCUCUGCCACAGCCGUUCCCAUCCCUCCUUUUCGUCCUCCCUUCCCGCCUGCCAGAGUGAGGAUGCAUCCUUUGACUCUGCUCAGCAAACCUCGGAUGGGGACAAGGGACGCGUGCAGUUGAGGAAGUAAGGGACGAAGACACAGCCACUACCCUCAAGGAACUUCCGAUUUCGUGGGGAGAUACGGACAGGACUUUCUUCCACGGAGGUACCCGCCCCCCCCCCAGGCGUGCUGUUGCUGUAAACAGGACUCCAGGUGGUCUGCUAUCAAAUCUCAGAACUCAUCAAAGCUGUAAAACAGGCAAACGCACAAAGAAGGAUCUGGGACCUACACUCGAUGUUCACCCUCUGGCCACGUCUGAUCCGGGAAGCCUCUCUGCUGUAGGCUGGCUGGAGCCCUGGUGAAAGGUGGCUUCUUUUCCAUCCAGGCAGCUAUGACAAGAGAAGUGCCCCACUUGAGGCCGAACGAAAGGAAGCUGGGCUGUGGAUGCAGCUGACAUCUAGGAAGGAAGGCAGAGCUGAGAGAAUAGCAGAAUAUGGUGCUAGAGUCCUGAUCAUGCAAUGCCUGAAGCCUGAACUACCCCAGUUACCUCUGAAGGAGCUACUAAAUCACCUUGUAUUUCAAGCCAAUUUUGGAUCUUGCUGUUCGCUGGGGUGUAAGAGAAGCUUCGGUCGAAAGGGGGAGCUAAUUCAAAUCGGAGCCAAGCAGGGCAUACGGAUGGGUGCGGUGGGCCCGGAUGGGACGACAGGGGUGCUUGUGGGCCUGGAUGGGACAACAGGAGCGCUAGCGACUUGGGCAGAACAGGACGUGCACCAUGACCCUCAGAAGGUAGCAGCUGCCCUGAGACUCCAAGCCCACCGUUGCCACACUGCCCCUUUGUUCCAAAGGAGUAAGGAAUCUGGAUUUUCGUGUGAAAUGCCCCCAACAAAACACAUCUGUGGACUGGUUCAGUCCAAGGUGGCCGCUUGGGGCCCCUGUGCUGGUGUUGGCUCUCUCCCUGCUAAUCUCAUGCACAAAGAGGGGCUGCCAAUAAUCAAGAGCCACGUGCUGCUUCUUUAGGAAUUAAUUAGGGUUUGAAGAGGAUGUAUACAAAGAACUUAGCUUUAUUAAGAUACUCCUUUGGCCCAAAGAAUAAAUAUUUUUCAAAUCCCAACCCUAAGUGCUUAAUCUGCUAAAAUGGGCAACAAAUAGAAUGAAUGCUGAAAAGAACUUGCUUCCUGUUUCAAAAGAGCCCCUGUGACCUCUGCAAUCUGAUUAUAGAGAAGUGGACUUUCCUGCCAGGAAGGUGACAAGAAGCCACAGAAAAACCAAGUCCCAGUUGGAGGGGAACUAGCCAGCAAGUUGCAUUAACUGCAAUUUCAUUACCUUGAAAAUGAUUCCAUCGGUUGGAGACCUAGUGACAGCUUCUGGGGCUGAUUUUUUUCUUCUGGAACUGUUCUUUGCUCCCUGCCCUGACACUGUUCCGAUCACAAGGCCCAGAAGCCAGGCUGUAAGUGGAGCUGGAGAAGUUCUGGGAGACAACAGACAAUAUGGCAGGCAGCCCAGCAGAAACUGCUACCGGAAAUGCCUUCUCUCCAAGUUCUGUGUCCUGCUCUGGGGACAGACCCAGGGGUUGCCUCCAUACAGGUAUGACAGAAGAGAGAGAGAGUACAAAUACAGUCAGGUUUCUUUCCUUUUGUUUCUUUUUUCCACCCCCCACCUCUUCUCUAGCAACCACGAACUUGUUCUCUGUGUCUGUCUUUUUCUGGGGUGCCUGGCUGGCUCAGUCAGAAGAACA